rnacentral:rRNA from 1 species
GACGAACGCUGGCGGCGUGCCUAAUACAUGCAAGUAGAACGCUGAAGGAGGAGCUUGCUUCUCUGGAUGAGUUGCGAACGGGUGAGUAACGCGUAGGUAACCUGCCUGGUAGCGGGGGAUAACUAUUGGAAACGAUAGCUAAUACCGCAUAAGAGUAGAUGUUGCAUGACAUUUGCUUAAAAGGUGCAAUUGCAUCACUACCAGAUGGACCUGCGUUGUAUUAGCUAGUUGGUGGGGUAACGGCUCACCAAGGCGACGAUACAUAGCCGACCUGAGAGGGUGAUCGGCCACACUGGGACUGAGACACGGCCCAGACUCCUACGGGAGGCAGCAGUAGGGAAUCUUCGGCAAUGGACGGAAGUCUGACCGAGCAACGCCGCGUGAGUGAAGAAGGUUUUCGGAUCGUAAAGCUCUGUUGUAAGAGAAGAACGAGUGUGAGAGUGGAAAGUUCACACUGUGACGGUAUCUUACCAGAAAGGGACGGCUAACUACGUGCCAGCAGCCGCGGUAAUACGUAGGUGGCAAGCGUUAUCCGGAUUUAUUGGGCGUAAAGAGAGUGCAGGCGGUUUUCUAAGUCUGAUGUGAAAGCCUUCGGCUUAACCGGAGAAGUGCAUCGGAAACUGGAUAACUUGAGUGCAGAAGAGGGUAGUGGAACUCCAUGUGUAGCGGUGGAAUGCGUAGAUAUAUGGAAGAACACCAGUGGCGAAGGCGGCUACCUGGUCUGCAACUGACGCUGAGACUCGAAGCAUGGGGUAGCGAACAGGG